rnacentral:rRNA from 1 species
UACGAAGGGGGCUAGCGUUGCUCGGAAUCACUGGGCGUAAAGGGUGCGUAGGCGGGUCUUUUAAGUCAGGGGUGAAAUCCUGGAGCUCAACUCCAGAACUGCCUUUGAUACUGGCGACCUUGAGUCCGGGAGAGGUGAGUGAACUGCGAGUGUAGAGGUGAAAUUCGUAGAUAUUCGCAAGAACACCAGUGGCGAAGGCGGCUCACUGGCCCGGUACUGACGCUGAGGUGCGAAAGCGUGGGGAGCAAACAGGG